rnacentral:rRNA from 1 species
UACAGAGGGUGCAAACGUUGUUCGGAAUUACUGGGCGUAAAGCGUGUGUAGGCGGCCUCGUAGGUCGGAUGUGAAAGCUCUCGGCUCAACCGGGAAAGUGCAUUCGAAACCACAAGGCUUGAGUGUCGGAGAGGAAGGCGGAAUUGUCGGUGUAGAGGUGAAAUUCGUAGAUAUCGACAGGAACACCUGCGGCGAAAGCGGCCUUCUGGACGAACACUGACGGCUGAGACGA